GCUACCCCUAGAGGUGUUACAGGUGUGGCUGUUAUGUCUCGUGUGCAUCAGUAGGUGGCAGAGAGGAGAGAGGCUAGAUCUACACUCAGUGUUCUAACCUGUGAGCAUCUGAAUUAUUAGUAGCCUAACAUU